GUCCUUAGCCAUAUCACCCUGCAGCCCAAAGAUUUACUCACUAAAGCUAGGCAGGGCUGAGCCUGGUCAGUACCUGAAUGGGAGACCACAUGGGAAAACUAGUUUGCUGUUGGAA
rnacentral:rRNA from 1 species